rnacentral:rRNA from 1 species
UACGAAGGGGGCUAGCGUUGUUCGGAUUUACUGGGCGUAAAGCGCGUGUAGGUGGCUUUAUAAGUCAGAGGUGAAAGCCCAGAGCUUAACUCUGGAAUUGCCUUUGAUACUGUAGAGCUAGAGUCUUGGAGAGGAAAGCAGAAUUCCGAGUGUAGAGGUGAAAUUCGUAGAUAUUCGGAGGAACACCGGUGGCGAAGGCGGCUUUCUGGACAAGCACUGACACUGAGACGCGAAAGCGUGGGGAGCAAACAGG